CCCUUAGAGUUUGAUCCUGGCUCAGAUUGAACGCUGGCGGCAUGCUUUACACAUGCAAGUCGAACGGUAACAGGGAGCUUGCUCCGCUGACGAGUGGCGAACGGGUGAGUAAUAUAUCGGAACGUACCCAAGAGUGGGGGAUAACGUAGCGAAAGUUACGCUAAUACCGCAUACGAUCUAUGGAUGAAAGCAGGGGACCUUCGGGCCUUGUGCUCCUGGAGCGGCCGAUAUCUGAUUAGCUAGUUGGUGAGGUAAAGGCUCACCAAGGCGACGAUCAGUAGCUGGUCUGAGAGGACGACCAGCCACACUGGAACUGAGACACGGUCCAGACUCCUACGGGAGGCAGCAGUGGGGAAUUUUGGACAAUGGGCGCAAGCCUGAUCCAGCAAUGCCGCGUGAGUGAAGAAGGCCUUCGGGUUGUAAAGCUCUUUUGUCAGGGAAGAAACGGUAGGGGCUAAUAUCCCUUGCUAAUGACGGUACCUGAAGAAUAAGCACCGGCUAACUACGUGCCAGCAGCCGCGGUAAUACGUAGGGUGCAAGCGUUAAUCGGAAUUACUGGGCGUAAAGCGUGCGCAGGCGGUUUUGUAAGUCUGUCGUGAAAUCCCCGGGCUCAACCUGGGAAUUGCGAUGGAGAC
rnacentral:rRNA from 1 species